GCCCUCGUAGUCUAACGGUUAGGACACCGCCCUUUCAAGGCGGCGAUAGGAGUUCGACUCUCCUCGAGGGCACCA
rnacentral:tRNA from 1 species